AUACCCAGGUUGGUAGACCGCUGGGAGGUUAACAGACGGGGAUCCGUGCCAGAAUGCCGAGCAAUAAGGAGAUUAAUUUAUUUAUAUUCUUUUAAAAUGUUUAAAAAAUGAAUUAAUGACGAGUGUCCUCAGCGAACUCACGGCGUGUUAUACAGUACUUUACCUUUGUAACAAUGUCCAGCAUUUUAAUGCAAGAAUAUCAUAUCAAAACAAUAUUGCAUUUUAUUUUGAAAAAUAAAAAAAAGGAAAAAUCUCCAUAAUCAAAACUUUUAUUAUAAAAAAUAUAUUCGAUACGCAAUAAAAAUAUGUUUAAAAUUAAAAUAUUUUAAAAUGACAAAAUUUCAUGUUAUUUUACACAUAUUCUGUAAUACACUAAAAUAAACAGAAGCUAUUAUGUAUAUCAAUAAAAUUUAUGUAAAAAUAAGGGGGGGGGGGGGGGGGGAUAUAGGAGAAUAUUUUUGAAUAGUUUCACAUUUAUUCACUAGAUGGCAGCAGGUGUCCGUUGUUUCUUCAACAAUCGAUUCAAGGAAAAAUCAUCAAAAACAAAAUAAAUAGCGAUUUAUUUAUUAAAUUUAUAUCCAUAUAGUAUAUUAAUAUGCGUAAAUAAAAACCAACUUGAAUAAAGUGUUAAAUUGAGGAAAAGUAACUACAGUGAGUUUAAAUAUAACUUCUAAGAAAUGCUGCCGGCUGGGAGUCGUGGCGUGCUCCUGUAAUCCAGCUACUUGGAGGCCGGGGUUGGUGGACGGCUUGAGGCGAGGAGUUCUCCCUUCUGGUUCCCUAUGUUGACCGGAUGUCCGCACUAGGCCCAGCGUCAAUAUGGCGACCCCGGGGGAGCCCGGGGCCUCCAGGUCAGCUAAGGAGGAGUGGACCGGCCCAGGGCGGAAACGCAGCAGGCAAAAGCUCCCGCGCAGGGCGGUAGUGGGAUCGCGUCCGUGAAUAGUGUCCAGAUGGGAGCCUCGCUGAUAUAGUUGGACCCAACUCUUUUUUUUUUUAUGUUAUUUUUAUAAUUUUAGAAAAGAAUUUCUGUUAUAAAAGAACAUUUCACAAUUUUUGUAUGCUCUAAAGAGACUAAUGGUCACAGGUUCGAACCCCGACAUGGCAAUUUUUUUUUUUUAACUCAAAUGUCAAAAUUAUUUUUAUUAUUAUUAUUAUAACUUGGAGAUAUGUUUAUAUAACGAUGGGAUUUGCAUAAAGAUCAUGGGUUCAAGCCCCGGCUUGGAAUUUUUUUUUCUAAACUUUAAUAUAUUCUUUGACGCGUUAGCUUCUUUUAAAAAUAAAAUAAUGUAUCUACUGUUCUUACUGCAAAUGUAAAAUGAUUGGAGGGCCUGGCUCAUCAGUGGUGAACCCUCCCAGCGGUUUCGCCAACAUACCGCAGUAAUAUUGCAUUGCAUUGUUUUUAUUUUAUGUCAGUACUAAAACUAAACUCUGGAAAAGCUAUUUUCAAUUAUUUAUGGGGACAUAAUCUUUGAGAACAGUAGAAAUACAUAGAAAUAUAACUUUUGUGCGGGUUAAAUUUAUAUGUAAAUUUCUGAUUUGCACGUUGUACACAGGACGCCCAGCACAAUGUGGGACAUUGAGGACGAUUGGAAUUUCAGAGUUGGAGAUUGGCUGUGGUGUCGAACCACGGGGUAAUUCUCGGUAUAAGACAGGAAACACAAAUUCCGGUCCUGAAUCCGAUUUACACUAAUGAACCAAACUUAUGGAAGUAGAAAGUCUUUGAUAUCGCCUGUCGUCUAUCCCUUUUCUUGAUUUAUCAGGAAAUUAGGGUUGUCCAAAUAUCAGGGAACAGGCUCAAUCAAUGUUUAGUUGAUUUCUGUUCCACUAGAUGGCGCUCUGCCAUCUGUAAAGCACAUGUGCUCCUGGUCAGGAAAUGUCUUCUUUAUUUUUAAGAAAUAUUUUGUUCACAUUUUGUUA
rnacentral:piRNA from 1 species